UCGCUGCCGAGCAUGGUAGCCACGACGC
rnacentral:sRNA from 1 species